GAAUCGACUCGAUCUCGACGGGGAACGGGGGAAACGUGUGUGUGCCGUGUGCAAUGUCGCGUCGGGCGUAACAUCGGAACGGAAUCGUAAAGUAAUAAGACAAGGUAUAUAUAUAACAUUUCCGUAGCCGAGCGCCUAUUUACAGCGAAUUACGGCCAACCAGGAAUUUGUCCCCAAUUUUAGACUACAACGUAGCCGUUAUACGCGCUUACUCCACAAUAGCCGUAAACCGUAAGGUAAGAGUUGAUCAAUCGUAGUCGAACGUGAGAAGAAUAAUCGAUGGGUCAAUUUUUACGGCUUACGACUAUUGUGGAGUAACGCUUUUUUUUUAGCUACGCUCUACGUUUUUUCUUUCUGAAGAUUGCGGAGACAAAUCCCUCGAUUGACCGUCGCUGUAAACAAGCGCACAGCGUACGGGAAUGUUAUUAUUGCGCCUUGUCCUUUUUUUACGUCAUGAAUCGGAGCGCACGUAAUCGCCGGAGUGUCGUGCUAAUGUCGUGUGUUUCGCGUGAUUUAUUCGUUUGCACGUAUCUCGCGGCGAAUGUUGCAUGGGAAUGUCGUAUAAAGUGGUGGUCGAUCGUGAUAUUGCAUUAAUUGGACUGUACUUAUCCUUGAAUGAACGAACGCCCGAAACAAUAGCGCAGCUGCUGGCGAAGCAAUAAUGAGGUUAUAUCGGCACAUCGGCCGAUGCUGUGUUGUCUUUGCUCAAAUAAGAAGAAGAGCGAACGAUUCUUUUGACCUUGCGAUGAAGUUUAGCGUCGGGAGUUAAAGCGCGAUAGCAGUACCAUAAUCUCGACCAAUCAGCGAACAAACAGACGCGGCGGGAAUAAAGGAUAUCGUCCUCCGGGGGAAGGUCGAAGGCUGGACUUUGGUCGCUUAACCGCGACAAGGGGCAAUAUUGACAAUAGGCAUAUACGGUAACGCUUUCAAUUGAUCGCGCACACAAAUGAAUGUAUAAUGGAAGAAUUGCACUUAAUAUUUGACGAACGAAUAGAAAUGCAAUUAAAAUAGAAAUGCUUUCCGUUGCACUGUUUCGUCCGGCCGAAGUCCGGCUAGAAAUAAACGGCCUACGAAGCGCAGCCGUUUCCCUACUUUGUAAUUUAUGAUUAAUCGACAAAAGUUUUGUUAUUGCGUUAUUCUUGUAUUCAGUCCCGUGUCACGUGUAUGUCUAUGUUGAAACGCGUGUGGCCGGCGCGGUGUGCAUGUACAUGUGCGCGCCGUUAAAAGAACGUCCGCGAAGGACAUCUCUGAUGAGACGAGUGUGCGUAGGACAUCGUGUGUCGCGCGCGCAUUGCUCCAACAACAACGGCUAUUUUCAAGUAAUCGACGUAUCGUCGAAGGUCGAGGAGUUUAACCUUCAACGAGCCGCGCCGUUAACCCGUGAAUGUUCCGGCUAUAUAUGUAAGUGCCGCAUACCCAGACCAGAUGGUAUUUUCUCCUUCCGCAUUGAUUAUACAUAUUAUCGCCUUGUAACUUUCUAUUUCUCACUGUCUAAUCGUCUAUACUCUAUAAGACAAAAAUUUAUUAAGCGUUUAUCGCUCCGUGAAAGUGUCUUACGGCUUUUUUAGCAGAAUUUAUAUAUACGUACGAGCGGACCGACUUAAUCACGAACAGAUUGGCACGCGCGUGCGCGCGCGUGACAAGAUGCACCUGUCAUUCAAGGUGAUUCUUUAUGAUGCGAGAGUGAGCUCUACUUUUCAGGAAUUACAUCUGUACACGUACAUGGUUUCUAGGAAUUACACACGCGUCACGUUUG